GGGUGAGCUGCAGCUGUUGUGCAUGCAGUUGGACCGCCACAUCAGCACCCAUAUCCGGGAGAGCCCCCAGGCCAUGCACCGGACCAAACUCAAGGACCUGGCUACCCAGACUUACAUCCGCUGGCAGGACUUGCUGGCCCACUGUCAGCCCCAGGGCCAGUACUUCAGCCCUUGGAAAGACAUUUAAAGAGACAAGAGACAAGUGGCCCAAGGCUCUGGAAGAGAACUGUAGGAGGAGAAGAGUGGAGCCAGAGUCAGCCUGGCCUGCUGGGAAGCUAGACUACUGCCACUACCCAGCACAGGGUCCUUGUGUCCCUGACCAUCCUGCCCAUGAGCUCCCUCCCUUGAGGGCCCAGUUGUCUUUUCUCUCCCGAGCCCUCUCUGUUGGCUACUCUCUUUCCCACACCCUGCUCUCUCUGCCCAUCUUGAAUAUGAUGUUCAUUUGUACAAAUUAAAGUGUUGUUUCCAGCA
rnacentral:lncRNA from 1 species